GGGCCCGCACAAGCGGUGGAGCAUGUGGUUUAAUUCGAUGCAACGCGAAGAACCUUACCAGGUCUUGACAUCUUCUGCUAACCCAAGAGAUUAGGCGUUCCCUUCGGGGACGGAAUGACAGGUGGUGCAUGGCUGUCGUCAGCUCGUGUCGUGAGAUGUUGGGUUAAGUCCCGCAACGAGCGCAACCCUUAUUGUUAGUUGCCAGCAUUAAGUUGGGCACUCUAGCAAGACUGCCGGUGACAAACCGGAGGAAGGUGGGGAUGACGUCAAGUCCUCAUGCCCCUUAUGACCUGGGCUACACACGUGCUACAAUGGACGGUACAACGAGUCGCGAAACCGCGAGGUCAAGCUAAUCUCUUAAAGCCGUUCUCAGUUCGGAUUGCAGGCUGCAACUCGCCUGCAUGAAGUCGGAAUCGCUAGUAAUCGUGGAUCAGCAUGCCA
rnacentral:rRNA from 1 species